ACAAGCAACCAACAAAAAAUUAUCUGUCUGUGGGGAGAUACUCUGCUGCAAGUUCUUAACUUCUUUUUGGCAGGUCUGUGGCUGUCAGUGACACACUGCUGCUUUUCACAUCAGCUUUUCUACUACCUACCCAGGAAACUGAGGAUCAUAGCAAACAAUCCCAGCAUCUGAGCGUCCCAAGGACGAUGGCCCUACCGCUGAAAAAAGUCCUAGGGAGUUCCUGUAACAUCCAGCUGCAGACAGGGAGAUAUUUCUAGUACAUGGAAGAGAAUCACAUGCAUGAAUGACAGAGUAUGUCAGAAUGUCAAGUAGGCACUAAGAAAAGCAGGAAAGUGGGAUUAAAAUACCACUCUUGCACUACUACAGAAGCAGAACCUGAUUGCUGGCAAAGAAGUUCACCUGGAGAUCUGCCAGCAAAGCACAAAGCCUCUAACACAACUCCACAACACUGGAGCUUUAUUACACAGAAACAAGGAAAAUGAAGACAUACUAACUUUGGAAAAGGCAGGUCUGGAAUCCUGUUCUAAGUGAUAACUACAAAAAUGUCUACCUUGAAGGUGUCACACUACAUCACGAUGAUGACCGUCCAAGAUCCACUCUUAAAAGCAGCAUUUUGUAUCAGUGUGAUUCAACAGUUCAAACCAGUCUGCACCUUGCCUAGUGUCCUUCUACUCAGUGAGGGCAGAAAAUCACUGCUGGGGCAGGGCGGACUGCCAGGGGGGCCAAACCUUCCUCUCUGCGUGGCACAAACCAGAGCUAAGAAGCUGCCCUUGUCAACAACUAGCCCAUGAACAUGACCAUGAGCUGCGAACUCACUCCAGUUCAGCCACUCUUUCGUAUCUAAAGAUCCACAGACUUCUUCAAGUAAAUUACCUCAGCUAAUUGAAGUUGUGUCAAUGACUAAAGGGCCAUCAUUAACCGCUUCUAUGCUGUCUUUUUUCUCUUGUCAAUGUGCAAAGUAAUCAUAAGAGCGCAAAGCAAUCAUAAAUUCCCUAUCAUUUUUGUCCUUUUGCUGUUUGGCCUACAUUCUUUAAUUUCCUCUCUCACACUCAGCAUAAUCCGUUUCAGUUACUUCCUUCUUUGACCACAACAGGAUCCAUGGGGAAGCUAACCAC